CCUACGGGUUGCAGCAGUCGAGAAUCUUUCACAAUGGGGGAAACUCUGAUGGUGCGACGCCGCGUGGGGGAAUGAAGGUCUUCGGAUUGUAAACCCCUGUCAUGUGGGAGCACAUUCCAAAGAUAGUACCACAAGAGGAAGAGCCGGCUAACUCUGUGCCAGCAGCCGCGGUAAUACAGAGGUCUCAAGAGUUGUUAGGAACCCCUGGGCGUAAAGCGUGCGUAGGCUGUUUCGUAAGUCGUGUGUGAAAGGCGCGGGCUCAACCCGCGCACGGCACAUGAUACUGCGGGACUAGAGUAAUGUAGGGGGAACCGGAAUUCACGGUGUAGCAGUGAAAUGCGUAGAUAUCGAGAGGAACACUCGUGGCGAAGGCGGGUUCCUGGACAUUAACUGACGCUGAGGCACGAAGGCCAGGGGAGCGAAAGGGAUUAGAUACCCGGGUAGUC
rnacentral:rRNA from 1 species